GGGCCCGCACAAGCGGUGGAGCAUGUGGAUUAAUUCGACGCAACGCGAAGAACCUUACCUAGCCUUGACAUCCUUGGAACUCUCCCGAAAAGGAGAGGUGCCCUUCGGGGAACCAAGUGACAGGUGCUGCACGGCUGUCGUCAGCUCGUGUCGUGAGAUGUUGGGUUAAGUCCCGCAACGAGCGCAACCCCUGCCUUUAGUUGCCAGCAUUAAGUUGGGCACUCUAGAGGGACUGCCGGUGUCAAGCCGGAGGAAGGUGGGGACGACGUCAAGUCAUCAUGGCCCUUACGGCUAGGGCUUCACACGUGCUACAAUGGACGGUACAAAGGGUCGCGAAGCCGCGAGGUGGAGCCAAUCCCAAAAAGCCGUUCUCAGUUCGGAUUGGAGUCUGCAACUCGACUCCAUGAAGUCGGAAUCGCUAGUAA
rnacentral:rRNA from 1 species